rnacentral:rRNA from 1 species
UACAGAGGGGGCAAGCGUUGUUCGGAAUUACUGGGCGUAAAGGGCGCGUAGGCGGCCUUCUAAGUCGAACGUGAAAUCCCUGGGCUCAACCCAGGAACUGCGUCCGAUACUGGAAGGCUUGAAUCCGGGAGAGGGAUGCGGAAUUCCAGGUGUAGCGGUGAGAUGCGUAGAUAUCGUAAGGAACACCAGUGGCGAAGGCGGGUCUCUGGACAGUUCCUGACGCUGAGGCACGAAGGCGAGGGGAGCAAACGGG